UCCUCGCUAGUAUAUCGGUUAGUAUAUUCGCCUCUCAACAGAGAGUCAAGAAGGGCCUGGUCAUGUAGGCCGGGAGUUAUCGCGAAAGAGCAGGGUUCAACUCCCUGGCGGGGAA